GAUGAACGCUGGCGGCGUGCCUAAUACAUGCCAGUCGAGCGAACAGACGAGGAGCUUGCUCCUCUGACGUUAGCGGCGGACGGGUGAGUAACACGUGGAUAACCUACCUAUAAGACUGGGAUAACUUCGGGAAACCGGAGCUAAUACCGGAUAAUAUAUUGAACCGCAUGGUUCAAUAGUGAAAGACGGUUUUGCUGUCACUUAUAGAUGGAUCCGCGCCGCAUUAGCUAGUUGGUAAGGUAACGGCUUACCAAGGCAACGAUGCGUAGCCGACCUGAGAGGGUGAUCGGCCACACUGGAACUGAGACACGGUCCAGACUCCUACGGGAGGCAGCAGUAGGGAAUCUUCCGCAAUGGGCGAAAGCCUGACGGAGCAACGCCGCGUGAGUGAUGAAGGUCUUCGGAUCGUAAAACUCUGUUAUUAGGGAAGAACAAAUGUGUAAGUAACUAUGCACGUCUUGACGGUACCUAAUCAGAAAGCCACGGCCAACUACGUG
rnacentral:rRNA from 1 species